CCAGUCUUAAAAGAAAGCACAAACCAAAUCCCCUGUACACAUAUACGGACUCAGAGGAUGAGCAGCCUACAAAAAAAUGGUUUCCCCAGGCCCUUCGAGUGAAAAUACCAGCCCUCAUCACUCCGCAGUCUGCCCCCAGCCCACU